rnacentral:rRNA from 1 species
GUGAGGAAUAUUGGGCAAUGGGCGAAAGCCUGACCCAGCAACGCCGCGUGAAGGAUGAAUGUCGUAAGAUUGUAAACUUCUUUUUGAGGGGACGAAAAAACGAGUUGGUAGCUCGAAUUGACUGUACCCUUAGAAUAAGCCCCGGCUAACUACGUGCCAGCAGCCGCGGUAAUACGUAGGGGGCAAGCGUUGUCCGGAUUUACUGGGUGUAAAGGGCGCGUAGGCUGGUUUGUUAGUCAGAGGUGAAAUCCUGCAGCUCAACUGUAGAAUUGCCUUUGAUACUGCAAGCCUUGAGUUCGGAAGAGAGAGACGGAAUUCCAGGUGUAGUGGUGAAAUACGUAGAUAUCUGGAAGAACACCAGAGGCGAAGGCGGUCUCUUGGUCCGUAACUGACGCUGAGGCGCGAAAGCGUGGGGAGCAAACAGGAUUAGAAACCCUUGUAGUCC